rnacentral:rRNA from 1 species
GAUGAACGCUGGCGGCGUGCCUAAUACAUGCAAGUCGAGCGAACAGACGAGGAGCUUGCUCCUCUGACGUUAGCGGCGGACGGGUGAGUAACACGUGGAUAACCUACCUAUAAGACUGGGAUAACUUCGGGAAACCGGGGCUAAUACCGGAUAAUAUAGUGAACCGCAUGGUUCAAUAGUGAAAGACGGUUUUGCUGUCACUUAUAGAUAGAUCCGCGCCGCAUUAGCUAGUUGGUAAGGUAACGGCUUACCAAGGCAACGAUGCGUAGCCGACCUGAGAGGGUGAUCGGCCACCCUGGAACUGAGACACGGUCAAUACUCCUGAGGGAGGCAGCAGUAGGGAAUCUUCCGCAAUGGGCGAAAGCCUGACGGAGCAACGCCGCGUGAGUGAUGAAGGUCUUCGGAUCGUAAAACUCUGUUAUUAGGGAAGAACAAAUGUGUAAGUAACUAUGCACGUAUUGACGGUACCUAAUCAGAAAGCCACGGCUAACUACGUG